CCACAGUCUCUCCUCAUGAAAGAGAUGCUCCAGAUCCCAAAUCACCUUUGUGGCCUCCACUGGACCCUCUCCAGCAGGUCUUUCUCUUUCUUG